rnacentral:rRNA from 1 species
GACGAACGCUGGCGGCGUGCUUAACACAUGCAAGUCGAACGGUGACGAGGAGCUUGCUCCUCCGAUCAGUGGCGAACGGGUGAGUAACACGUGAGUAACCUGCCCCAGACUCUGGGAUAACAGUUGGAAACAGCUGCUAAUACCGGAUACGAGACGGAGAGGCAUCUCUACCGUCUGGAAAGUUUUUCGGUCUGGGAUGGACUCGCGGCCUAUCAGCUUGUUGGUGAGGUAAUGGCUCACCAAGGCGACGAUGGGUAGCCGACCUGAGAGGGUGAUCGGCCACACUGGAACUGAGACACGGUCCAGACUCCUACGGGAGGCAGCAGUGGGGAAUAUUGGGCAAUGGGCGAAAGCCUGACCCAGCAACGCCGCGUGAUUGAAGAAGGUCUUCGGAUUGUAAAGAUCUGUCCUAUGGGACGAAAAAAUGACGGUACCAUAGGAGGAAGCCCGGCUAACUACGUG